rnacentral:rRNA from 1 species
UACGUAGGUGGCAAGCGCUGUCCGGAUUUACUGGGCGUAAAGAGCGCGCAGGCGGUGCGAUCAGUCGAAUGUGAAAGCCCCCGGCUCAACUGGGGAGGGUCAUUCGAUACUGUCGGACUCGAAGGCAGGAGAGGGAAGCGGAAUUCCCGGUGUAGUGGUGAAAUGCGUAGAUAUCGGGAGGAACACCAGUGGCGAAGGCGGCUUCCUGGCCUGCACUGACGCUCAUGCACGAAAGCGUGGGGAGCAAACAGG